rfam:Triticum aestivum genome assembly, contig: Triticum_aestivum_CS42_TGACv1_scaffold_602694_7DL
UGCAAAUGAUGAGUUGCAACUUCAUUGCCUACAUUGUUUGACAAAGACUUAAGUUACUAAAUGAAAUUACAUGACUUCA